GAUGAACGCUAGCGGCAGGCCUAACACAUGCAAGUCGAGGGGUAACUAGCGUUAUAGCAAUCUUCCUUUGGCUAGACCGUCGCACGGGUGCGUAUCACGUAUGCAACCUACCUUAUACUGGUGCAUAACUUCGAGACCUCGGCGCUAAUACCCCAUAACACUGCGGAGAGGCAUCUCUUUGCAGUUAAAGCUCCGGCGGUAUAAGAUGGGCAUGCGUCCAAUUAGCUAGUUGGUGAGGUGACGGCUCACCAAGGCUACGAUUGGUAGGGGUUCUGAGAGGAUGAUCCCCCACACUGGUACUGAGACACGGACCAGACUCCUACGGGAGGCAGCAGUGAGGAAUAUUGCGCAAUGGACGAAAGUCUGACGCAGCCAUGCCGCGUGCAGGAUGACGGCCCUAUGGGUUGUAAACUGCUUUUGUACGGGAAUAAACCCUUCUACGUGUAGGAGGCUGAAGGUACCGUAAGAAUAAGCACCGGCUAACUCCGUGCCAGCCGCCGCCGUAA
rnacentral:rRNA from 1 species